GGACAAAAUGGGGAAAACAACCCCAGCCCAACAAUAAAGGGCAAGACCGCUUGCAGAACCCUGGCAAGCGAAAGUCCUCGCAGAAUGGUUAAAGGCCUGUUGCUGUGCUCAGUAAAUCCUGCCCGCCCUUCCUGAGAACUGGAGGUCGGGGAGGCUGGGAGUUGGGUAACUCUUGUGCUAAGCCUUGGGCAGCUCCACAUUUAUCUCGCUCGGCUCUGCGUGCACACACACAUGCACACACACACACACACACACACCACACACACCCCAGCCGUCUGCUCAGCUUUGCAAUCCAGUGGCGUGAGCUGCGAGAGAAGCAGAAUUUUCCAGUCUCUCUGCGUCUGUGACUUGGUGGGCCACCAGAAGCCUCGUGCUGGACCAGCCCCUGAACUGGAAAUGACCUCUGGCCACUCUAAAAUACUCCUGUCCUCAGGUAGUAGAAACCCACCACACUCUGCUUCCCAUCCCCUGGCCUACGUCGCUGUUCAGCCUCGGCUGCAGAGGACCUGUCUGUGAGCUCGGAUUUACCUCCUUCUUGCAGCAUCCGGCCCCGAGCUCCAGUCUCUCCUUCCUCCUUCUGCUUCAGGGCCGCCUCUGAGUGUCUGGGCUGCCCCUCAGCCAGUGUCUAAGCAUAGACCCAAAGUGUGAGGAGUCAACACUCCUGGAGUCUGGAGCCAGCUGAUACACAUUCCACAGCCCUCAGGUGGACAUCUGGCAGGUAUUUUAUAUACCUGUGUCUCUUCCCACAGGAACGUCCACGCUGAGAAAGCAGGAACUUUUUCUGACUUCACAUACCCAGUCAUUCUCCACUGAAUGACUCUUGUGUACGUUGGUUGUUUCCAUGACUCUUCAUAACUCGGGCGUUCAAAUUCCCAUUUUGUGAGAAGUCAUCUCUAUUUGAUUUAACCUUUGCUAUUCUUCAAUAUCUGAAAAGUGCUAUCUACUAUACUUUAUUCUGAAAAAAUAAAUUAGAAUUUCAAGGCA
rnacentral:lncRNA from 12 species